rnacentral:misc_RNA from 1 species
UACGGAGGGUGCGAGCGUUAAUCGGAAUUACUGGGCGUAAAGCGCGCGUAGGCGGUGUGUUAAGUGAGAUGUGAAAUCCCCGGGCUCAACCUGGGAAUUGCCUCUUAUACUGGCACGCUAGAGUAUGGCAGAGGUGAGUAGAAUUCCCGGUGUAGCGGUGAAAUGCGUAGAGAUCGGGAGGAAUACCAGUGGCGAAGGCGGCUCACUGGGCCAAUACUGACGCUGAGGUGCGAAAGCGUGGGGAGCAAACAGG